rnacentral:rRNA from 1 species
CACCAGGCGCGAAAACUCUACAAUGCAGGCAACUGCGAUAGGGGAACAUCGAGUGAUCCUCAUAUUGGGGGUCUGUCCACUCGCCUAAAAAGCGGGUGUUAGCAAGGGCCGGGCAAGACCGGUGCCAGCCGCCGCGGUAAUACCGGCGGCUCGAGUGGUGGCCGAUAUUAUUGAGUCUAAAGGGUCCGUAGCCGGCUUUGCAAGUCUCUCGGGAAAUCCAGCGGCUUAACCGUUGGUCGUCCGGGGGGUACUACAUUGCUUGGGACUGGGAGAGGUAGGAGGUACUCAGGGGGUAGGAGUGAAAUCCUGUAAUCCUUUGGGGACCACCGGUGGCGAAGGCGUCCUACCAGAACAGGUCCGACGGUGAGGGACGAAAGCUAGGGGCACGAACCGGAUUAGAUACCCGGGUAGUCCUAGCCGUAAACGAUGCUCGCUAGGUGUCACAACAGUCGUGAACUGUUGUGGUGCCGUAGGGAAGCCGUGAAGCGAGCCACUUGGGAAGUACGACCGCAAGGUUGAAACUUAAAGGAAUUGGCGGGGGAGCACAAGGGCGAUUCGCGG